rnacentral:rRNA from 1 species
ACGAACGCUGGCGGCAUGCCUAACACCUGCAAGUCGCACGAGACCUUCGGGUCUAGUGGCGCACGGGUGCGUAACGCGUGGGAACCUGCCCUUAGGUUCGGAAUAACUCCCCGAAAGGGGUGCUAAUACCGGAUAAUGUCUUCGGACCAAAGAUUUAUCGCCUUUGGAUGGGCCCGCGUUGGAUUAGCUAGUUGGUAGGGUAAAAGCCUACCAAGGCGACGAUCCAUAGCUGGUCUGAGAGGAUGAUCAGCCACACUGGGACUGAGACACGGCCCAGACUCCUACGGGAAGCAGCAGUGGGGAAUAUUGGACAAUGGGCGAAAGCCUGAUCCAGCAAUGCCGCGUGAGUGAUGAAGGCCUUAGGGUUGUAAAGCUCUUUUACCCGGGAUGAUAAUGACAGUACCGGGAGAAUAAGCUCCGGCUAACUCCGUG